UUAUUUAUAUUGUGUUUUAUUGUGUAUAUGUGUGUUAAGGUUAUAUGGGUUUAUAUUUUGUAAGUGUGUAAAUAUAUGAAAUGUUUCAAUGUUUGUGGUGUGUUAUAUGUAAUCAGUAUUGCAGUGCAAAGAAGUUUUUAAAUGAAACUCAUUUUUUGUGCUGCCAUUCAAGAAAAGUUGUAUUAGCUCCUCUUUCUCUUUAUCCGCCAUUGUUGACUGGUUUAAUGACAGGAAACCAUGUUGAUCAUGCUGUAAAUCAAAAUUUUUUUAAACACAUAAGGAGUUAUAAUUCCUCUUUAUUUUUUGCUUCCUUCACUGCCGAAAUAGCUCCUCCCUCAAAUAAUGGCCGAUUCUGUUUUAGGGUCUGUGGGCAAAUUUUGCAUCGUGUUGGAAAUUUAAGGCCUGCAGAAGGUUGUCUGCCCAAAUAUUGUCAGCUGUAUAUCUAUGAUCCUAAUGCAGCUUAUUACAUUGAUUGAUUGUUUUUAUUGCAUUUUUAAUUUUCUUUUAUUUAUCUCUAGCUGCUGCUUCUUCUGUUACAACUGCUGCUUCUUCUGUUACAAGCUCGAAGUCAUGGGAAGAUUUCCGAAAGUAUCGCUCCCAGCAUCCAGGCCCUCUAUCUAUGAGGGCCUUCCAUCGCUAGUGUUUGUAUGGGGACAACCAUCCCUCCUUUAGAUGGAGGGAUGGCACACCAUACAACACGGGGAAUAGAGCGGAUGCUGGGAGGAGAAGACAACGUGGCUCAAAAGUUGUCAAUAAUUUUUUUACAUUUUAAAAUGUAAAGAAAUUGACAACUUUUGAGCCACUUCAUUUUUUUUUUGU